rnacentral:rRNA from 1 species
AUACGUAGGAGGCGAGCGUUAUCCGGAUUUACUGGGCGUAAAGCGCGUGUAGGCGGCUUCUCAAGUUGGCAGUGAAAGGUUCCGGCUUAACUGGGAUAUGCCUGUCAAUACUGGGAGGCUUGAGGGCAUCAGAGGAAAGUGGAACUCGCGGUGGAGCGGUGAAAUGUGUAGAUAUCGCGAGGAACACCAGUGGCGAAGGCGGCUUUCUGGGGUGUUCCUGACGCUGAGGCGCGAAAGCGUGGGGAGCGAAGCGGAUUAGAUACCCGCGUAGUCCACGCCCUAAACGGUGGAUACUUGGUAUGGGGGGUAUCGACCCCCUCCGUGCCGAAGCCAACGCUUUAAGUAUCCCGCCUGGGAACUACGGUCGCAAGACUAAA